CACGUAGGGCGCAAGCGUUGUCCGGAAUUAUUGGGCGUAAAGAGCUCGUAGGCGGUCUGUUGCGUCCGCUGUGAAAACUCGGGGCUUAACCCCGAGCCUGCAGUGGAUACGGGCAGACUAGAGGUAGGUAGGGGAGAAUGGAAUUCCCGGUGUAGCGGUGAAAUGCGCAGAUAUCGGGAGGAACACCGAUGGCGAAAGCGCUCUGCUGGGCCGAAACUGACACUGAGAGACGAAAGCUAGGGGAGCGAAUGGG
rnacentral:rRNA from 1 species